rnacentral:rRNA from 1 species
GGUAAUGCCGGAUGCUCCAGUUGAUCGCAUGGUCUUCUGGGAAAGCUUUCGCGGUAUGGGAUGGGGUCGCGUCCUAUCAGCUUGACGGCGGGGUAACGGCCCACCGUGGCUUCGACGGGUAGCCGGCCUGAGAGGGCGACCGGCCACAUUGGGACUGAGAUACGGCCCAGACUCCUACGGGAGGCAGCAGUGGGGAAUAUUGCACAAUGGGCGCAAGCCUGAUGCAGCGACGCCGCGUGAGGGAUGGAGGCCUUCGGGUUGUAAACCUCUUUUAUCGGGGAGCAAGCGUGAGUGAGUUUACCCGUUGAAUAAGCACCGGCUAACUACGUGCCAGCAGCCGCGGUAAUACGUAGGGUGCAAGCGUUAUCCGGAAUUAUUGGGCGUAAAGGGCUCGUAGGCGGUUCGUCGCGUCCGGUGUGAAAGUCCAUCGCUUAACGGUGGAUCCGCGCCGGGUACGGGCGGGCUUGAGUGCGGUAGGGGAGACUGGAAUUCCCGGUGUAACGGUGGAAUGUGUAGAUAUCGGAAAGAAACACCA